rnacentral:lncRNA from 1 species
GGCUGUUUCAUAGGUAUGUUUCCUCUCUUAUUUUAUGGUGGAGCCAAAGAUAAAGAAGAAACCAGCUAGCAGUGUUCAACCUAAUUAAUGAAUUAUAAUAGUGAAAAACCUUUAUAACUGCCUUAACCACUCAUAUGUUUGUUAGAUUAUACUGAGCUGCCGGUGGCAUUAUAAUCACAUAGCCGAUGAUAUUAGGUCAUAUUUUCAUCACAUUUUCACAUUCAUUUUAAUUUCUGCUCUGGUACAUAUUUUGCAGUUAGUUAAAAGAUUUUUUUUAGAAGAAACCUGUUACUGAAUAUCAGCAAUCAGCAUUCAUCAUUUAAAAUAGUCAAAUACCUGUAUUUUUAUCUUGACCACAUUAAAUUGAUUUUAGGUGCUGCAAUAAGUGUUGAUAUAGUGUUAUUUUUUAGAAUCCAUCAAUAGAUUUUUAUGAGUAAAUUUUUCAUUAAAUUCAUUAAAAGAUAAGUUGAAGUUUACAAUUAGACAAUUUUCCAUCAAAGACAUUGUCAGGAGUUUUUUUCAGUUGUUGUUUGUUGCUGUAUACCAUAUUGAUUUUCGUUCAUUGUUUUUUACAUAAACCAGGUAGUUUUGUUGCUUGAAUUGUUUUACAUUUUUAUGUAAAAGCCUUUUAUAGCUUGUUAUGUGGUAUGGGUUUUGCUCAUUGUUGAGGACCACAACUUCUGAUUUCCAUUUGGAAAUACUGUGGAUUCAUUAAUAUUUGUUGGAAUUUAAUGUAAUUGAAAUUAACAUAACAAAAGACUUGAUGUACGAUAAAAUUGAAACUGCUUAAUAAAUACAGGUAGCCUUUGUGAAAAAUAAAUAACGAUAAAAACAUACUUUAUUCAAAUAAUUUUAUAUGGUGAGAGGUAUAGAUAUAUAGAUCGAUAAUGAUUGCAGGUACAUGUACAUUUGUACAAGGAUAGAUAAUAUUUAUAAAGGUGGAUGUUAAUAAUUUAUAGUGGGAGUUUUUUUUUUUCUCAUUUGCUUUUUCCCCGACAAAUGAGUCUGUAAAAAUUGGGGCCCCCUUAGUUGAUUCCCUGGGCAACUGAGGGUUGAUGUAACAGGUGAUUGUUAAUAAAAUAUGUUUAAUAUUAAAAAAAAAAAAAAAGAUGGUAAAAAAAAAAAAAUAAAAAUAUUUGUUGGAUACCAAUUUUUAUACGACCGCAAACAUUUUUUUGCACCGUAUAAUGCUAUCAUGUUGUCGUCUGUGGCGCCAUUGAAGAUGCAUGGUUUCCGGAUAAUAACUUUAGUAUAAGUUAAUAGAAAUCAAUAAAAUUUUAACACAUAGUUUAUAACCACAAAAGGAAAGUUGGGAUUGAUUUUGGGGGUUAGGGUUUUCAAGGUUUAGGAAUAAGUGGCCAAAAAAAGGGGGGUUCAAAUAAGCAUUUUUGUAGUUUCCGGUCCGUAACUUGUGUUUAAGUGUAUAAAUCUGUCUGAAAUUAUACCACAAGUUUCCAUACUACCUAGGAAUGGUUAUGGGGAGGUAAUGGCUCAAAUCAUUUAGCAAGUAGGGGCAAAAAAGGGGAAAACAAGGGUUUUUCUGGUUAAAGGACAAUUUUGACAAUUAAAAAGCAGUGUAAGGGAGGAAAUCCAAUUUCAUUUAAAGAAUACUGUUAUAGAUAUGUUAGAUUACCUCUUACACUGCUUGAAAAUUAUGUAUUAAGAAAUGGUGAUUGUCUUGAGAUGAAUAGCUGUAAAAUUAUUUUUAGAAGUUACUAUUACUUAAUAUGAA